UACCACUGGUGGGGUGUGCCGCCGCCACGCCACAUCCCAGCGAGCCUGCACGCGUCCUCCUCUCCUCACCCGUGGCCGUGGGAAUACAUCAGCGGCCACAAACAGCGGUCGCCGCAUCUGACGAGGGAGAAGCUCCCUGAUGGGUGAUCGGAAUCGGAAGGUGGGACGGACGAUGGUUGUGCCGCGCGGGCGAUCGAUCGAGGUCAUGGUGGACGCAGCCGAGGAGAUCGAUGAGACGGCCGAUCCAUGGAGGUGGACGCAGCCGAGGAGAUGAGAUGCUCGAUCGGCCAUCUCAUCUCAUCCAUCCUUCUAAUUCCCUAGAUUCCGCUCCGCAUAUGGAUGAGAUAUUCUGCAACACCACCACAUUUGGGUGCCUCCAGGUGCUCAUCAGUCGGAGCGAAGAAAGAACUUUGUCUUUAGCAUCAUACCACUUCAAGAGGCAAUCAGUGGUGAAACUCCCUACAGUGUAGGUUCCUCUGAAGAAGGCAGUAGGCACCUCAUGAAAAUCAGAAAGGAAGUCUUUUUUGUUCCCUAGCUUAAUGGCCUUGACAGAGCAGCUGCGGUUUGUGUUGUCAUAAGAAAAGGGACUGUCUAUUUGACAUUUGACUGUUUUUCAAUUCGACAACAUUCAUAUUUUCUGACAAAUGAACAGUUGACACCUGUCGACAGCACAAAAUGGGACGCCAAAACGGGUCACGGAAAAGAUCUGACCCGGUUCGCUGGACAACUAGCCACUCCAAAAAAUUCAGGAACCAACUCCCUUGAUCUUCAGGACCACACAGUACGUGCCCAGCUUGCAACGCAUGAAAAGGGCCAAACCCCUCCCACAAACCACUCAACAGAUCUCACCUAACAACACAAAACAGCAAAUCAGAAGGGGGAAGAUGGAGGCGGCCAUGGGCGAGGGGGGAGGAGAAGAAGGGAGAUCAAGCAUAAAUCAGAAGGGUUUGGGAGAAGAGGAUGUACCUGACGAGGAACAAGAAGGAAGAACAUCGGAGGGAAUUCAACAACUAUCCCAACUGCUCACCAUCUUCUCUCUUCACCUGUCACAAGAACAAAUCAGGAGGAAUUUUCUUCAUCUACAAGAGAUAGAUCAACAUCAGCUGUAUUUCUGGGCAAAUCCCAUAAUUUUUGUGAUCAAUUACGUUGACAUCAACAUGGAAAUUACACUGAAAUGCUGAAAUUGUUCAAUGGAAAAUACAGUUUAGUUUUCGGAAAACUUACAAGAAUAUUUACAAUGUAAAUUAACAUGGAAAUACAGCACUUCUGAAUUUCCAGUGUAAAUCCCAAUGUAAAUUCCAGUGUACAUCCUGACGUAAAAUCAAGUGUUACAGUAAA